UUUUUCUGUCUAUAAGAAACAAUAGGCUUGGUGGAAGAUGCAGGGCAGGAACAAGCAAGCAAGGCAUUCCCCGAGGCUAGAUGCGGGGUGAGGGGCUUACAUUGCAAACUUCCCUUGCUUGGCUAAUCUUUUGGACCGACGACAAAUAUGGCCGCUUAGAUUCACCCAAGGGCUGAGGGUUUAGGGCCGAGGUGCUGUCCACUUUUUUUGAAUUUGAAACGCAGCCAUAGUUCUAUCCACCCCAUGCAAUUGCAAUCAGUCAAUGUAAUGGACAACUUUCUUUAGAAAUCCACCCCAUACAAUUGCAAUCAGUAUAUAUAAUCUACAGCUAUCAUAAAAUCAAGCGAUAUGAAUCAGACAGUGGGUAGCCAGCCGCCUGACCACAGUUGGUCAAAAGGUUCAAAUCAACGUUUCAUAUCGUGGUAUAGAUGUACUAUAUUGACAAUGACACAAUAACGCGAGAUCACAUGUCCAGCAUGGCCGACAACCAGACCUCCGUUGCCCGCCAUAGGAAGCAAAAUUGAAAUGAAUAAAUAAGACGUUAUCGAGUUGGAUUGUAUGGGAGUCUAAACAGCAAUCCUUGUCCACAACCCCGAUGGCCCCAUACCAGUCAGCGCAACCUCAUCUGGGAGGGCAAAGGAAUUUAUUGAGGGCCAGUUUUCUGCAAACCUGCAGCUUCACAGUCAAAGGGGAUUGACAAGGCUAGGAUGCAAGGAGUACAAGCCUUAUUCAACCAGAAGUCUAAUGAAGCAGGUGGACUUGGCAGAGUUCCAUACAUGGCUGUGGCUGCCAAGAAGGUGGCCAUUGAGGUAAAGGGCAUGCCAGGUGGGAUAGAGUUUUUUAAAAAGCCCUCCCACUAUGGCAUGGACCAACUAUCUACCAUUUCGGAGGCAGGCCGUGGCAUCAAGUUCACAAUAAUCAUACAACAGGCAUCCUUGUAGUUGCAAUGAACUCCAUUAUUACUUAUCCAUGAUUAAUUGUUUUUUAAUAAAUGUUUUUAAACAUUGUUGGGUGUAAUUACAUUG